rnacentral:rRNA from 1 species
GGAGGAAAAGGUAGAUGCUAAUAUGAUCAACUAUUGACGUUAUCGGCAGAAUAAGCACCGGCUAACUCCGUGCCAGCAGCCGCGGUAAUACGGAGGGUGCAAGCGUUAAUCGGAAUUACUGGGCGUAAAGCGCACGCAGGCGGUUGAUUAAGUUAGAUGUGAAAUCCCCGGGCUUAACCUGGGAAUGGCAUUUAAGACUGGUCAGCUAGAGUCUUGUAGAGGGGGGUAGAAUUCCAUGUGUAGCGGUGAAAUGCGUAGAUAUGUGGAGGAAUACCGAUGGCGAAGGCAGCCCCCUGGACAUAAGACUGACGCUCCA